GUUUUUCCUGAGCAGCCUGCUGGGAGUGAAAUUGAGUGGGAGCCACUGCACUGGUCAAUUUACCUCCCAGCAGGCCC
rnacentral:miRNA from 1 species